rnacentral:rRNA from 1 species
UAGCGUAGGGGGCAAGCGUUGUCCGGAAUUAUUGGGCGUAAAGCGCGCGCAGGCGGUUCUUUAAGUCUGGGUGUAUAAGUGCGGGGCUCAAACCCCGUGAGGCACUGGAAACUGGGGAACUUGAGUGCAGAAGAGGAGAGCGGAAUUCCACGUGUAGCGGUGAAAUGCGUAGAGAUGUGGAGGAACACCAGUGGCGAAGGCGGCUCUCUGGACUGUAACUGACGCUGAGGCGCGAAAGCGUGGGGAGCAAACAGG